GAUGAACGCUGGCGGCGUGCCUAAUACAUGCAAGUCGAGCGAACGAACGAGAAGCUUGCUUCUCUGAUGUUAGCGGCGGACGGGUGAGUAACACGUGGAUAACCUACCUAUAAGACUGGGAUAACUUCGGGAAACCGGAGCUAAUACCGGAUAAUAUUUUGAACCGCAUGGUUCAAAAGUGAAAGACGGUCUUGCUGUCACUUAUAGAUGGAUCCGCGCUGCAUUAGCUAGUUGGUAAGGUAACGGCUUACCAAGGCAACGAUGCAUAGCCGACCUGAGAGGGUGAUCGGCCACACUGGAACUGAGACACGGUCCAGACUCCUACGGGAGGCAGCAGUAGGGAAUCUUCCGCAAAGGGCGAAAGCCUGACGGAGCAACGCCGCGUGAGUGAUGAAGGUCUUCGGAUCGUAAAACUCUGUUAUUAGGGAAGAACAUAUGUGUAAGUAACUGUGCACAUCUUGACGGUACCUAAUCAGAAAGCCACGGCUAACUACGUG
rnacentral:rRNA from 1 species